rnacentral:rRNA from 1 species
GACGAACGCUGGCGGCGUGCUUAACACAUGCAAGUGGAGCGACGAACCGGGCUUCGGCCCGGGGCAAAGCCGCGAACGGGUGAGUAACACGUGGGUAACCUGCCCCGAUGACCGGGACAACCCGAGGAAACUCGGGCUAAUACCGGAUACGCCCGCCCCACAUCAGUGGGACGGGCAAAGGUAGCUUCGGCCUCCGCAUUGGGAUGGGCCCGCGGCGCAUUAGCUUGUUGGUGAGGUAACGGCUCACCAAGGCAACGAUGCGUAGCUGGUCUGAGAGGACGAUCAGCCACACUGGGACUGAGACACGGCCCAGACUCCUACGGGAGGCAGCAGUGGGGAAUCUUGCGCAAUGCGCGAAAGCGUGACGCAGCAACGCCGCGUGGGGAAGAAGGCCU